UACGUAGGGUGCGAGCGUUGUCCGGAAUUAUUGGGCGUAAAGAGCUUGUAGGUGGCUCGUUGCGUCGGGAGUGAAAACCUGCGGCUUAACCGCAGGCCUGCUUCCGAUACGGGCGAGCUAGAGUUCGGCAGGGGAGACUGGAAUUCCUGGUGUAGCGGUGGAAUGAGCAGAUAUCAGGAGGAACACCGGUGGCGAAGGCGGGUCUCUGGGCCGAUACUGACACUGAGAAGCGAAAGCGUGGGGAGCGAACAGG
rnacentral:rRNA from 1 species